rnacentral:lncRNA from 1 species
AUUCAUCCUUGUGGGGCUCACUGGCCUUCUGUGAAGUGAAGGGGCGUCAGGACUAAGGGAUAAAGGAGGCCUUCGAGUCUAACACACCAUGACUGGAACAGUCUCAAGACUCUGAACAAACAAGCAUAGCACAUUAAAUAACUCGGUGACAGAGCACGUAAUCCUAGGAGUAAGAAUGUGUCACACAGCCAGUACGACAGUAACUCACUAGAGCAAGAUACAGAAAGUCAAAGGACAGCCUCUGAUGGAGGAGGAGGAAGAGGAGAAGAUGAAGAAGAAGACGAAGAAGAAGAAGAAGAAAGGAACCAGCAGCGGGUGAAGGGGAGGAAAAGCACUGUCAUGGGGUGCUGUGAUAAAAGUAUAUGGUGUGAAUAGACAAGCGCCAUAAUAAAACUCAUUGUCCAGUGA